GACGAACGCUGGCGGCGUGCUUAACACAUGCAAGUCGUACGGUAAGGCCCUUUCGGGGGUACACGAGUGGCGAACGGGUGAGUAACACGUGAGUAACCUGCCCACAACUUUGGGAUAACGCUAGGAAACUGGUGCUAAUACUGGAUAUGUGCUCCUGCUGCAUGGUGGGGGUUGGAAAGCUCCGGCGGUUGUGGAUGGACUCGCGGCCUAUCAGCUUGUUGGUGGGGUAGUGGCCUACCAAGGCGGCGACGGGUAGCCGGCCUGAGAGGGUGACCGGCCACAUUGGGACUGAGAGACGGCCCAGACUCCUACGGGAGGCAGCAGUGGGGAAUAUUGCACAAGGGGCGCAAGCCUGAUGCAGCAACGCCGCGUGCGGGAUGACGGCCUUCGGGUUGUAAACCGCUUUCAGCAGGGACGAAGCUUUUUGUGACGGUACCUGCAGAAGAAGCACCGGCUAACUACGUG
rnacentral:rRNA from 1 species